rnacentral:rRNA from 1 species
GACGAACGCUGGCGGCGUGCCUAAUACAUGCAAGUCGAACGCUUCUUUCCUCCCGAGUGCUUGCACUCAAUUGGAAAGAGGAGUGGCGGACGGGUGAGUAACACGUGGGUAACCUACCCAUCAGAGGGGGAUAACACUUGGAAACAGGUGCUAAUACCGCAUAACAGUUUAUGCCGCAUGGCAUAAGAGUGAAAGGCGCUUUCGGGUGUCGUUGAUGGAUGGACCCGCGGUGCAUUAGCUAGUUGGUGAGGUAACGGCUCACCAAGGCCACGAUGCAUAGCCGACCUGAGAGGGUGAUCGGCCACACUGGGACUGAGACACGGCCCAGACUCCUGCGGGAGGCAGCAGUAGGGAAUCUUCGGCAAUGGACGAAAGUCUGACCGAGCAACGCCGCGUGAGUGAAGAAGGUUUUCGGAUCGUAAAACUCUGUUGUUAGAGAAGAACAAGGACGUUAGUAACUGAACGUCCCCUGACGGUAUCUAACCAGAAAGCCACGGCUAACUACGUG